UACAUGCAGUCGAGGGGCAGCACAGGUAGCAAUACUGGGUGGCGACCGGCAAACGGGUGCGGAACACGUACGCAACCUUCCUUCAAGCGGGGAAUAGCCCAGAGAAAUUUGGAUUAAUACCCCAUAAGAAUGUGACCUGGCAUCAGGUAGCAUUUAAAGAUUUAUCACUUGGAGAUGGGCGUGCGUCUGAUUAGGUAGUUGGUGAGGUAACGGCUCACCAAGCCGACGAUCAGUAACUGGCGUGAGAGCGCGACCAGUCACACGGGCACUGAGACACGGGCCCGACUCCUACGGGAGGCAGCAGUAAGGAAUAUUGGUCAAUGGACGGAAGUCUGAACCAGCCAUGCCGCGUGGAGGAUGAAGGCCCUCUGGGUUGUAAACUUCUUUUAUUUGGGACGAAACACUUCUUUUCUAAGGAGCUUGACGGUACCAGAUGAAUAAGCACCGGCUAACUCCGUGCCAGCAGCCGCGGUAAUACGGAGGGUGCAAGCGUUAUCCGGAUUCACUGGGUUUAAAGGGUGCGUAGGCGGACAUGUAAGUCCGUGGUGAAAUCUCUAAGCUUAACUUGGAAACUGCCAUGGAUACUAUAUGUCUUGAAUGUUGUGGAGGUUAGCGGAAUAUGUCAUGUAGCGGUGAAAUGCAUAGAUAUGACAUAGAACACCAAUUGCGAAGGCAGCUGGCUACACAAAUAUUGACGCUGAGGCACGAAAGCGUGGGGAUCAAACAGGAUUAGAUACCCUGGUAGUCCACGCCCUAAACGAUGAUUACUCGACAUACGCGAUACACAGUGUGUGUCUGAGCGAAAGCAUUAAGUAAUCCACCUGGGAAGUACGACCGCAAGGUUGAAACUCAAGAAA
rnacentral:rRNA from 1 species